rnacentral:tRNA from 2 species
UGCCUGAUUGUGUAAGGGUAGCACAAAUGACUCUGACUCAUUUUGUCCGGGUUCGAAUCCUGGUCAGGCAGCCA